ACUUAAAUAGUUUAAUAAAAAUUUUGAUUUGUGGCAUCAAAGAUGUAAAUUUUACUUUAGGUU
rnacentral:tRNA from 1 species